UCCCAGACUCCUACGGGAGGCAGCAGUGGGGAAUAUUGGACAAUGGGGGGAACCCUGACCCAGCAACGCCGCGUGAAGGAAGAAGGCUUUCGGGUUGUAAACUUCUUUUCUGGGGGACGAAGAAAGUGACGGUACCCCAGGAAUAAGCCACGGCUAACUACGUGCCAGCAGCCGCGGUAAUACGUAGGUGGCAAGCGUUAUCCGGAUUUAUUGGGUGUAAAGGGCGUGUAGGCGGGAAUGUAAGUCAGAUGUGAAAACUAUGGGCUCAACCCAUAGCCUGCAUUUGAAACUGUAUUUCUUGAGUGCUGGAGAGGCAAUCGGAAUUCCGUGUGUAGCGGUGAAAUGCGUAGAUAUACGGAGGAACACCAGUGGCGAAGGCGGAUUGCUGGACAGUAACUGACGCUGAGGCGCGAAAGCGUGGGGAGCAAACAGGAUUAGAUACCCGCGUAC
rnacentral:rRNA from 1 species